rnacentral:misc_RNA from 1 species
AUGAAGGAGACACAACAUAACACAACACAAACCACCCGAAAUAUGAACAAAAAACACAUAGCCAGUGUCACACUGAGCAACAAAAACAACUUUUUUCUGUAUUUUCUCACAAAUUUUGAUCUGUUAUUGUUUCUCUUCCAAUGGAAACCAUUCUCUCCCCUCCUUUUUCUCCUCUCUUCAACCCCAAAACUUCCCUUUCAAAGCCUUUUCUUUCCCUUCCUCACUUACCCAGAUCAACUAAGUCAAUUUGCUGUAGCCUCAGAAAACAGUAUUCCCAGACUGAAAAACAAUCUUUUUCAGUACCCAAAAGUUGGGUUUCUCAUGUCCAGCAAGGAUUAGCUGCUAUAGCUAUUUCUUUAGCCCUUAAUUUUUGUCCAGUUGUGUCUUCUGAUUCUGCAUUGGCAUCUGAAUUUGAUGUGUUAAAUGAAGGGCCACCAAAGGACUCAUAUGUGGUUGAUGAUGCUGGUGUGCUUAGCAGGGUGACAAAGUCUGAUUUGAAGGCAUUGUUGUCAGAUGUGGAGAAGAGAAAAGGCUUCCAUAUUAAUUUCAUCACUGUCCGCAAGCUCACUAGCAAAGCUGAUGCUUUUGA